CUCUUCCAGGUGGCAAAGUUUGUACCAUCAAAUAGUGGAGGUCUAGUCAUUGAUAAUCCUUCUCCGCAACCAGUAGCAUUGUAGGCCAUAGAUGGAUUUACUCUUAGGUAUGCCUGUAUUUACUUAACAAACAAGUUAAAGAGCACCGCUUUGAUACCAAUUGAAAGUCCAAUAAUAAUCUAGAAGGGGGGUUGAAUAGAUUAUUACAGAUUAAAAAUUAUCUUAGGCCUUUUUGAUUUUUUUUAUAAUUAAUUUGUAGUGUUAGAAAUUAAUAUGCAAGACAGUAAAAAAUCAAUCACACAAUGCACAGAGAUUUGUCUGGUUCACAAUAUACAUCACGGGUAUGCUGCUACGUCUAGUCUCAAGCUCCUCUCCAGGACUUGAGAUCCUAUUACCAUCAGUAAUAAAUACUCCUUUAACAGGCGGAGAAGUCUUUACAAAGUUUUAUAUUCAAACUUCCAAAUGUUUCCAACUAAUCUAUCUUGGACAGCAAGCUCCCAGCUCCCUCCUCAAGCUUAGUUGUACUUCUUUUGAGUUCAGUUCGAUUUUAUGAUCUGGUCUUGAAACAACAGCCUCUUCCUCACCUCACAAGUACACUAGAGACUCAACUUUCUGCUGACCUCUCUAAGACUCUGGUUUUGGUCGAAGAAUUACUCGCCUUUCUCACAGGUAUAUAAAAUAAACUAACUGACCUUUUCUCUUUUUACAAAUGAUUUUACAACAAAUGUGCUUCUCAAAUAAGCAGAUAAGAAUUUAGUACAUAGGGAUGCUUCUUUAAAUAAGCAGAUAUAAUUUAGUACAAAUUGAUGCUUCUCAAAUAAGCAGAUAUUAAUUAAAGAGCAAAUGUAUUUAUAAAAGUUCAAAGACUUUUAUACUUGAGAAAAAAUACUUCUUUGUAAGCAGAUAGUAAUUUGUGCUUAGAUUAAAUAAUGCUUCUAUGUAAGCAAAUAUGUAAAUUAUGCACUUUUAUAAAAGUUUAAAUAACUUUUAUAUUUUGUGUGAAAAG
rnacentral:lncRNA from 1 species